GCUUGCUUUGGUAGCACAAACACACAAACACUCUAGAGCGAUGUAGAGAAGAUCAUCAUGGCACCUGGGUAAGGUGGACAUGCAAAUUCAUGAAGCGUUCCGCCUAUUU